rnacentral:lncRNA from 1 species
AAGGGUCUUGAGAGUGAAUGGGAAAUACUUGAAGAAAUAUAAACCUGCGUUUUUCCUGUGUCAAAGUAAUUGUGUUUUCCUUUGUUUUUUUUUCUUUUUUCAAAAUCCUUAGCUUUGCCCAAGGCUAACAAAUCAUUGUAGGGCCAGUUUAAAUUUCAAAAUCAUUAUGACAAAUAAAGGGAAUUUUGUUAAAAUUCUUAUUGUUCAUUUAUUUUAUUUUUUCUUAAAAUGACAAUCCUUUCAAAAACUACAAAACUUUUU